CUCAUCCUGAUGGUGUAAACCAUGCACCACACUGCUGGCCUGCCUGCUCCUCACUGGCAUGGCAGGUAGCUGGACCUUGGGGUGCUUUCAGGAGUGCAUCUCUGCUAGGAAAUAUUUCUCUCCACGGCAGAGUUAGCAUCUGGUAGCUGCGGGGAGCUCCCAGGCUGGGUCAGUGCUGUGCCAGCUUUCCUGCUGGCCUCGGGUGGCCACCCUUCUGGGGCAGGGGGUCCUUUCUCUGUGUAUUUAUCCGUGUUUUUAAAAUGAGGGGAUUUUCUUCAAAAAGCACACCAGCUCUGAUGUGACCCUUGCAUGUUCCCGUGCAGCGCGGACCUUCUUAUUUCCUGAAUGGCUUGCUCUGCACUUGAGUUAACUCACACCCUGGAUUUUGUCCAAGUACAUUUUGUUUCUUGAUACGAGGCCAGACUUUGCUGACUUGUGGUGCCGUUUUCUUCUCCCUGCUCUCCUCCCUGCUUCUUUAUUAUCAUCCUCAUUACCGAGUGUUACUGGCACCGUGCAGCCAAGGCGGGGAGAGCAGGCCCCAGAUCUACGCCUGCCUCUGACAACAGCUGAAGGGAGCGCGCUGAAGCAACAACAAACGCCUUCUUUAACGUACAUUGCCUGCACAUUGAGCUGUCCCAAGCCUGGCCCGGCACUGAAAGUUUGGAGCAGGCAAAGCAGUAAUCUUUACCAGUUGCUACAGCGUCUGCAAUGAAUCUGGCUGGUUGACACCUGGCCCUGGAGUGAAUCACAAUUUUGUCAGGACAGCAGCCCUGAGAGCUGUUGUUCUCACCAGCAGCCCCGCUUAUCCAGGUAUGAAAGCGUGUGCCUGAUUCCUGAUGUAUAAGGGGUCUAGCCAACUUGCUGUGCACUAAGCAUGCGUGGAGAGACCUGCAAAAUCCAGCUGUCCUGGUCUGGCAGCCUGCCUUGUAGGGGUGGUCUCUCUCUUGCAGGCUUGGGAUUCCUGUGGGGGUCCUUUCUGCCUGAAAGCAUUUGCUGUAGUGGGAGC
rnacentral:lncRNA from 1 species